UUCGAUUCCCUCUAUCCCCAACGAGACAAUUUAGUUAACCCAUUUAAGGUUGUUUGGAU
rnacentral:tRNA from 4 species